CUUCUGGGGGAAGCCCUGAGACAGGUCUGAAAGAAACAAGGAGGUCCCUGGGAGAAACUGCUGGAGUCCCUGCCAUGGAGUGGCCCUGGGAAUCUGCCUGGAGGAAAAGAGUCUCUGGAGAGACAGCGCUCCAUUAAAAGGAGGAAAGAGCUCUGUGGGAGCAGGGGCCAAGGACGGGGAACUUCAGUGAAUUGUAGGCUGUGAGAGGGACUCCAGCCAAGGCAGCCUGGGAGUCAGCUGUCUGUAACAGAGCUGGAAGGACUUUCAGGGAGCCCAGAAGGGGUGAGAGCUGAGCCCAGGAGGGCCCAAGAUGGGCAGACAUGUAGUUUGUUUAGAUGUUGGCUUGCCACUUGGUUGGACUUUGGUUACCCUGGAAGGGGACUGACCUUAAAUCUGACCUGACUGGAGGGCUGCUUCAUGGAAGGUGUAAACAGAGAGGCCAUCUUGGGGCCAAAGAAGUGGUCACCGGGGGUGCCAAGAUGAGGGCCCCUGCAAGCCUGUGAGGGGGCGCAAUGGUGAGAUCCCCUGAGUGCUGGUGUCUCCAACUACACAGCUAUAGGUGGAACUGCACCUGACCCCUUUGCCACAGAGGAGCAGCUCCAGGGAUUGUCUCUGCGCCUCCUUCCUACACAGAAUUCUCACUAACCUCACACUAGAAUACUAGGCAACGUUCUGCCGGAUGCUGCCUGUUCCCCUCUGCACAGGCUCGGACACAGUCAACAGCGCAGAGACGUGGCAUAACCUGACCGCCCACUAGGCACUACUGUUGCUACACCUAAACAUGAUCAGCGGAGCCAUGAUACUGGCCCUUUGCACAAUGGCAAAAGGAGCCAAACUGCAGCUUGGACUCCAUUAGCCCCCCAAACUGAUCCAUAUGUAGGAGCGUUUGCUUUUAAAAGCUUCUUUGGCUAGAGACCGCAAACUUACUUUAUCUGCGGACUGAUUGAGAGUAAUGCUCCCUGUUGCUGGCAGGUCUGUAGUACAGCUCUUGGACUGAGAAUAAAGUUUCUCUUGAGAGUCAGAUUUCCCACUGGUAAAUUUC